UCCCAGGUGGCUCAGUGGUAAAGAAUCUGCCUGCAAUGCAGGAGACCCGGGUUUGAUCCCUGGGUCAGGAA
rnacentral:tRNA from 1 species